UACGUAGGUGACAAGCGUUGUCCGGAUUUACUGGGCGUAAAGAGCGCGCAGGCGGUCGUUCAAGUCGAGUGUGAAAGCCCCCGGCUCAACUGGGGAGGGUCACUCGAUACUGAUCGACUCGAAGGCAGGAGAGGGACGCGGAAUUCCAGGUGGAGCGGUGAAAUGCGUAGAGAUCUGGAAGAACACCAAAGGCGAAGGCAGCGUCCUGGCAAGCAUCUGACGCUCAUGGGCGAAAGCUAGGGGAGCGAACGGG
rnacentral:rRNA from 1 species